GACGUAGGGCGCGAGCGUUGUCCGGAUUUAUUGGGCGUAAAGAGCUCGUAGGCGGCUUGUCGCGUCAACUGUGAAAACCCGUGGCUCAACCAUGUGGUCUGCAGUCGAUACGGGCAGGCUAGAGGCAGGUAGGGGAGAACGGAAUUCCCGGUGUAGCGGUGAAAUGCGUAGAUAUCGAGAGGAACACCUGCGGCGAAAGGCGGGUUGCUGGGCUGACACUGACGCUGGAAGCGCGAAAGCUAGGGGAGCGAACGGG
rnacentral:rRNA from 1 species